UAGGGAAUCUUCGGCAAUGGACGAAAGUCUGACCGAGCAACGCCGCGUGAGUGAAGAAGGUUUUUCGGAUCGUAAAACUCUGUUGGUAGAGAAGAACGUUGGUGNGNGUGGAAAGCUCAUCAAGUGACGGUAACUACCCAGAAAGGGACGGCUAACUACGUGCCAC
rnacentral:rRNA from 1 species